rnacentral:rRNA from 1 species
GAUGAACGCUGGCGGCGUGCCUAAUACAUGCAAGUCGAGCGAACAGACGAGGAGCUUGCUCCUCGGAUGUUAGCGGCGGACGGGUGAGUAACAAGUGGAUAACCUACCGAUAAGACUGGGAUAACUUCGGGAAACCGGAGCUAAUACCGGAUAACAUGUUGAACCGCAUGGUUCAACAGUGAAAGACGGUCUUGCUGUCACUUGUAGAUGGAUCCGCGCCGCAUUAGCUAGUUGGUGAGGUAACGGCUUACCAAGGCAACGAUGCGUAGCCGACCUGAGAGGGUGAUCGGCCACACUGGAACUGAGACACGGUCCAGACUCCUACGGGAGGCAGCAGUAGGGAAUCUUCCGCAAUGGGCGAAAGCCUGACGGAGCAAAGCCGCGUGAGUGAAGAAGGUCUUCGGAUCGUAAAACUCUGUUCUUAGGGAAGAACAACUGUGUAAGUAACUAUGCACGUCUUGACGGUACCUAAUCAGAAAGCCACGGCUAACUCCGUG